GGGCUCGGUAGAGUCCAUCUUGUUGACUCCUACGAUGAGCUGCUUGACACCGAGGGUGUAGGCCAGCAGGGCAUGCUCACGGGUCUGGCCGUUCUUGGAGAUACCGGCCUCAAACUCACCAACACCAGCAGCAAC